UACAAGUGCAACUAUAAGUUUCCGCGCCCAACUUUAAUCGUUCGUCUUAUUUAAAUUUUUUAUAAUUAGUAUUUUUAUUGUUAUGAGAUGAUAAAACAUGAAUAGUAUUUUACUCGUGACUUAUGUUUUUAAAUUUUUUUUAAAAUUUUUCAAAUAAGACGGACGGUCAAAAUUGGACGCGGAAAACCAUGGCUACACUUAUA
rnacentral:pre_miRNA from 1 species